rnacentral:rRNA from 1 species
AGUGAACGCUGGCGGUAGGCCUAACACAUGCAAGUCGAACGGCAGCACAGUAAGAGCUUGCUCUUACGGGUGGCGAGUGGCGGACGGGUGAGGAAUACAUCGGAAUCUACUUUUUCGUGGGGGAUAACGUAGGGAAACUUACGCUAAUACCGCAUACGACCUACGGGUGAAAGCAGGGGAUCUUCGGACCUUGCGCGAUUGAAUGAGCCGAUGUCGGAUUAGCUAGUUGGCGGGGUAAAGGCCCACCAAGGCGACGAUCCGUAGCUGGUCUGAGAGGAUGAUCAGCCACACUGGAACUGAGACACGGUCCAGACUCCUACGGGAGGCAGCAGUGGGGAAUCUUGGACAAUGGGCGCAAGCCUGAUCCAGCAAUACCGCGUGGGUGAAGAAGGCCUUCGGGUUGUAAAGCCCUUUUGUUGGGAAAGAAAAGCAGCAGGUUAAUACCCCGCUGUUCUGACGGUACCCAAAGAAUAAGCACCGGCUAACUUCGUG